UGAAACAUAAAAUUAUACUUCAUUAAAACGUUGAGAUUAUUCCAGCUUGUUGGGUCCGCUGAGAUAGAAACAAUUGAGGACGUUGGUACGGAUAAAAGUGUCGUUCGCAAAAACUGUAAAAUAAAUUCCUGUGAAUUAUCGACUGAGGUAUGCAAGCCUAAAGCAUGCUUCAACUACAAAUUAGUAAAUGUGCAAGUAUUCAAGGGUAUCUUACCUGUUUCAGAACAACCGUAAAGUUUAGUAGAAUACCACUACUUAUAUCCAAUGUUGUCGAGUUCUUAUCCAGUAAAGCUACCAGUUUUUUGUUCUCUAAAGCAGAUCAGUUAACAGGAUAAUUGAGUUCAAUCAAUCUUACGAGACUC